GACGAACGCUGGCGGCGUGCCUAAUACAUGCAAGUUGAACGCAACAAAGACACCAGAGCUUGCUCUACCGUCUUUGUGAGUAGCGAACGGGGUGAGUAACGCGUGGGUAACCUGCCCUUAAUAGCGGGGGAUAACUAUUGGAAACGAUAGCUAAUACCGCAUAACAAUAGAGAUUGCAUAAUCUUUAUUUGAAAGUGCCAACUGGUACACUAUGAGAUGGACCCGCGUUGUAUUAGCUAGUUGGUAGUGUAAUGGACUACCAAGGCGAUGAUACAUAGCCGACCUGAGAGGUGAUCGGACCACAUUGGGACUGAGACACGGCCCAAACUCCUACGGGGAGGCAGCAGUUAGGGAAUCUUC
rnacentral:rRNA from 1 species